rnacentral:lncRNA from 1 species
AAUUAAAAUAAUAAUCAUAAUUAAUUUGGAUGUUGAUCUUACAUACAUACAUACAUACAAAUAUAUAUAUAUAUAUAUAUAUAUAUUCUCUAAAGAAAAAACAUACAACAAAGAGCCUCUGCAGGCUGCAGCCAGCUUUUUUCAAGUCUAACCCAGAAAGAAACAAGACCCAUAACUUCAAAAUCCAGAAACCAUUCUGAUCUUCAUUAUAUAUAUAUAUAAUGAAAAUCAAGGUGUUACCCAGAAAGGGUUCUGUUGUUCUUGAUUUUCUCUGCUGUAAUCAUGGAAGAAGGGAUUAUUAUACCCAAAGCUCCUACCAGUACGGCCAUGGCCGUGAUUACAUAUAUAUAUAUAUAUUCUCUAAAGAAAAAACAUACAACAAAGAGCCUCUGCAGGCUGCAGCCAGCUUUUUUCAAGUCUAACCCAGAAAGAAACCAAGACCCAUAACUUCAAAAUCCAGAAACCAUUCUGAUUUUCAUUAUAUAUAUUAUAAUGAAAAUCAAGGUGUUACCCAGAAAGGGUUCUGUUGUUCUUGAUUUUCUCUGCUGUAAUCAUGGAAGAAGGGAUUAUUAUACCCAAAGCUCCUACCAGUACGGCCAUG